rnacentral:rRNA from 1 species
GAUCNGGCUCAGGAUAAACGCUGGCGGCGCACAUAAGACAUGCAAGUCGAACGAACUUAACCAUUAGUUUACUAUUGGAGCGGUUAGUGGCGGACUGGUGAGUAACACGUAAGCAACCUGCCUAUCAGAGGGGAACAACAGUUAGAAAUGACUGCUAAUACCGCAUAUGCCUUGAGUAUCACAUGGUACAAAAGGGAAAGGAGCAAUCCGCUGAUAGAUGGGCUUGCGU